UUCUUAAUGGCUAACACAAUAAGGAAACAUUCGAAACCUUUCCGAACUCGAAAAUGAAACUUGUUGUUGUCCAGAAAUACUACUUAGAUGGGAAUCCUGGGAACUAUUAAGAA
rnacentral:rRNA from 1 species